GCGGAUGUGGCUUAGUAGUAGAGCACUUGCCUAGAAUGCAUGAAGCCCUGGGUUCGACUCCUUAGUACCACA
rnacentral:tRNA from 1 species